GGCUACGAAGAAACGAACCGCGUGGCAGCAUGCCUAACACAUGCAAGUCGAACGAGACCUUCGGGUCUAGUGGCGCACGGGUGCGUAACGCGUGGAACCUGCCUUUAGGUUCGGAAUAACUCAGAGAAAUUUGAGCUAAUACCGGAUGAUGUCUUCGGACCAAAGAUUUAUCGCCUUUAGAUGGGCCCGCGUUGGAUUAGCUAGUUGGUGGGGUAAAGGCCUACCAAGGCGACGAUCCAUAGCUGGUCUGAGAGGAUGAUCAGCCACACUGGGACUGAGACACGGCCCAGACUCCUACGGGAGGCAGCAGUGGGGAAUAUUGGACAAUGGGCGAAAGCCUGAUCCAGCAAUGCCGCGUGAGUGAUGAAGGCCUUAGGGUUGUAAAGCUCUUUUACCCGGGAUGAUAAUGACAGUACCGGGAGAAUAAGCUCCGGCUAACUCCGUG
rnacentral:rRNA from 1 species